rnacentral:rRNA from 1 species
CACGCCGUAAACGCUGAUUACUAGGUGUAGGGGGUAUAGACUCCCUCUGUGCCGCAGUUAACGCAUUAAGUAAUCCACCUGGGGAGUACGGCCGCAAGGUUAAAACUCAAAGGAAUUGACGGGGGCCCGCACAAGCAGUGGAGUAUGUGGUUUAAUUCGAAGCAACGCGAAGAACCUUACCUAGACUUGACAUCUCCUGCAUUACUCUUAAUCGAGGAAGUCCCUUCGGGGACAGGAUGACAGGUGG